ACAGACUGGAAAGAGAGGGAGGCAGGAGAGAGAAAAUGUCACCUGAAGGAUGGACAGAAUGGGGAAGAAGAGGGGGGGAAAGGACAAAGCCAUUUGACCAGGCUAUUGCUAAGAGUUUGGCAUUUGUGUGGACUUAGGAGCAGCUUUCCAUCUCAACUCUGGGGAGAGAUCAUGGCUUUUUCACAUGCUGUGGAAAAAUUGUGCAUCAUGUGCUACAGGAGAGAAAAUUGCAUGAAUGUCUCUGAAGACAAAUAGGUGUCAAGGCCCAGAGGUUAAGAGACCAGAAGCAAUUGUCAGCUGCAAGGUGCCCAUGGUACAUGGUCUUCAUCCCUAUUUUUAUCUUCACGCCCACCCUGUGAAGUAGGUUAUUCUGAAAGAUUCACUGGCCAAAAGUCACCAACUCCUGGAUGCUGCUGGAAGAAGAGACCAUGGGGUGAAAUCCCAAUGAACAUUUGUACCUGUUGUAAGGUGGAGGUGGUGCAUCAUGCACUCCUGAAGAUUCCAUUGCUUGCUCGUAGGA